rnacentral:antisense_RNA from 1 species
CUGGCGGCAGCGUUCUUCCGUCAGCGUCAGGCAGACCAGGCCCCGGCCGUGCGUCACCAUGAAGUUGAUGGCCUCCGGCGUGACGAAUUCGGCCGCCAUGACCA